AUCUACGGUCAAAGAACUCAGGAAACGCCGCAUCCCGUCAGAUCUGCGAAGCUCAAGCUGAGUGUCGCUCGGGUAGUACCAACGUGGGGGACCAGUUGGGAAUACCGAGUGCUGUAGUUU
rfam:Kwoniella mangroviensis CBS 10435 unplaced genomic scaffold supercont2.13, whole genome shotgun sequence.